rnacentral:rRNA from 1 species
UGCAAGUCGAACGAUGAAGCCCAGCUUGCUGGGUGGAUUAGUGGCGAACGGGUGAGUAACACGUGAGUAACCUGCCCUUAACUCUGGGAUAAGCCUGGGAAACUGGGUCUAAUACCGGAUAGGAGCGUCCACCGCAUGGUGGGUGUUGGAAAGAUUUAUCGGUUUUGGAUGGACUCGCGGCCUAUCAGCUUGUUGGUGAGGUAAUGGCUCACCAAGGCGACGACGGGUAGCCGGCCUGAGAGGGUGACCGGCCACACUGGGACUGAGACACGGCCCAGACUCCUACGGGAGGCAGCAGUGGGGAAUAUUGCACAAUGGGCGCAAGCCUGAUGCAGCGACGCCGCGUGAGGGAUGACGGCCUUCGGGUUGUAAACCUCUUUCAGUAGGGAAGAAGCGAAAGUGACGGUACCUGCAGAAGAAGCACCGGCUAACUACGUGCCAGCAGCCGCGGUAAUACGUAGGGUGCGAGCGUUAUCCGGAAUUAUUGGGCGUAAAGAGCUCGUAGGCGGUUUGUCGCGUCUGUCGUGAAAGUCCGGGGCUUAACCCCGGAUCUGCGGUGGGUACGGGCAGACUAGAGUGCAGUAGGGGAGACUGGAAUUCCUGGUGUAGCGGUGGAAUGCGCAGAUAUCAGGAGGAACACCGAUGGCGAAGGCAGGUCUCUGGGCUGUAACUGACGCUGAGGAGCGAAAGCAUGGGGAGCGAACAGGAUUAGAUACCCUGGUAGUCCAUGCCGUAAACGUUGGGCACUAGGUGUGGGGACCAUUCCACGGUUUCCGCGCCGCAGCUAACGCAUUAAGUGCCCCGCCUGGGGAGUACGGCCGCAAGGCUAAAACUCAAAGGAAUUGACGGGGGCCCGCACAAGCGGCGGAGCAUGCGGAUUAAUUCGAUGCAACGCGAAGAACCUUACCAAGGCUUGACAUGUUCUCGAUCGCCGUAGAGAUACGGUUUCCCCUUUGGGGCGGGUUCACAGGUGGUGCAUGGUUGUCGUCAGCUCGUGUCGUGAGAUGUUGGGUUAAGUCCCGCAACGAGCGCAACCCUCGUUCCAUGUUGCCAGCACGUAGUGGUGGGGACUCAUGGGAGACUGCCGGGGUCAACUCGGAGGAAGGUGAGGACGACGUCAAAUCAUCAUGCCCCUUAUGUCUUGGGCUUCACGCAUGCUACAAUGGCCGGUACAAUGGGUUGCGAUACUGUGAGGUGGAGCUAAUCCCAAAAAGCCGGUCUCAGUUCGGAUUGGGGUCUGCAACUCGACCCCAUGAAGUCGGAGUCGCUAG